rnacentral:lncRNA from 1 species
AUAUAUCCUUUUAAAUAAUUUUUUAUUCGUAAAAUAAAACGUACGUGAAUUUUGUGUGACAGGGUCGACCUUCGACUAAGGUUUCGUCUCCGCCGGGCGGAGGCUCAUCUCUAGGGUACCUGUUUGGAGAUAAGUCUUGAUCAACUUAACACCCAAUUAAGUAUGAUUAAUUAUGUGUGUAUCCUAUCUUAUAAUUUAGUAGUGAGACCAAAGAAAAAUUUGCCCAUGAUUUUGUGGGGAAUUAGAUUAGGGUUUUGUGUGUGGGUUUGCAAUAUCAAUAUGUGUGAUUGUUUCAUAAUAUUAAUAGUGGUAAAGUGAGCUUAAUUUCCAAUUAAUGUACUUAUCAAAAUUAUGGAUGCAUAUAAUAUCAAAUGUGGUAAAAAAAAGUUCUCCAAUUUUAUUAUAUUUAGUUAAUCCCACUUCCACAUUUGGCGAUCUUAUCUAGAACAUGCGCAAUUAUAAUUCUUUGAUCAGUGCUUUCUGAUUUGUUCCUUUAAUUUGUUGGUUGCAAUAGUUAAGUUUAAUCUUUGCCAUAUCAGGGGUUAGUGGGGAGUGUUAAUUAGUGUCAUUAUUGAAUGAUUGUUUAAAGUUUAUUGACUUGUAAAUUAUUUUUAAAAUAAUAUAUGGAGUAUAUGAUUUUUAUAAUUGACCACAUAUUACAUAGAUUUUCCAUUUGUUUGGAUUUUAUCACAGUACUUUUUUUUUGACGGAAUCACAGUACUAAAAUUCCUCAAAUUUAAAGCUGACUUAAAUGCCGUUUUUUCCUAUCAAAUUAGAUCGAAAAACUCACAUUAAUUCAACAACAUUUCAUAAAAUCAAGUCCAUGUAAAUUCUGACAUUCAUGUCUAGGGGUGGAAAAUCGGGUAGCGGGUAUCGGGUAUACCCUCACCCGUCCCGAUACCCGCGCGGGUAUCGGGUACCCGAUACCCGCAAAAUUCGGGUGGAGGGUCGGGUGCGGGUAUCGGAUCCUCAAAAAUCGCGG